GAGGCUCCCAAGAGCAUAUUUCCUUCCCAGAUGAGCUGGUUCAGACAGAGGAUGAUCAGAGGAAUGAGGAGGGUGAGAAACUUCAUCAGGAAAUGCCGGAUAAAGUAAAAAAUGAAGACUUGAAAGAAAAUGUCAGGAAUCACAUCAGAGUGAAGAGAAAGAAAGGUGGC